UUUUUUUUUUGUUUUUUUUUUUUUUUGGUUACAUUUGUGUCAUCUUUUUGGAGGACAUCUGGUCAGUGUUUAUUUAAAAAUUUUAAAUGUACAUUACCUUUGACCCAGAGAUCCCACUUCUAAGUAUUUACCCAUAGGAAAUAUCCUUGGGAGUUCCCGUUGUGGUGCAGUGGUUAACAAAUCCAACUAGGAACCAUGAGGUUGAGGGUUCGAUCCCUGCCCUUGCUCAGUGGGUUAACGAUCCGGCGGUGCCAUGAGCAGUGGUGUAGGUUGCAGACGCAGCUCAGAUCCAGCGUUGCUGUGGCCCUGGUGUAGGCCAGCGGCUUCAGCUCCGAUUAGACCCUUAGCCUGGGAACUUCCAUAUGCCGCGGGAGCAGCCCAAGAAAUGGCAAAAAGACCAAAAAAAAAAAAAAAAAAAGGAAAUAUCCAAAUUCAUAAUGAUAUUAAUUGAAGGAUUCUUAAUGAUAGUAAAAAAAAAAUAAUAGAAAUAGCUUUAAUGUCCAUACAGAAGGGACUGGUUGGAUAAGUCCUAGGAAAUGAAAUACUGAGUACAACUUAAUUGCUAAAUUGGAGCGAAUAGAUCUAUACUGUUGUAUGAAAAAAAGUAGUAUAAAAUACAAAUGGUACAAUCUUACUCUAAAGAAACAAAACUAGAUGACUAUUAUAAAUACCACAUAAAUGGAAUAAUACAGAGCAGUGAGCUGGCCAAUCAUAGUGCCUAAUCCUACUGACCAGGAGUCUGUCUGGAGCUAUCAGGAAAGACUAUCUCUCUUCCAAGUAUCUUCCCUUUACACAAAUAAAGGUGCUCUUUAAAAAAUGCCAACUCAGUGUGGCAAAUAGCCAAUAAAUGUAUGAAAAGGUGAUUAUCCCACUGGCCAUGAGAGAAAGGAAAAUUAAAACCAUAAUGCAAUGCCAUUACACAAACAAAAACAAACAUUUGUAAGUGCUGGAUGUUAAGCAACCAGAAUUCUCAUACAUAGUGGUGGGAAAAAAGUCAAUUCAAUCACUUUGGAAAACUGUUUGUAUCUGCCAAAGCCGAUUAUUUCUACAUUCUCUGAUCCAGGUUAUAUCCAAUCAAAAUAUGUACUUUUCCAAAAUUGUACACUAGAAUAUCCAUAGCAGAACUAUCACAAUAGCCCCAUAUUGUCCAUUUGCGAAAGAUGUAGCAUAUAGUGUUCAAAAGGAAAUCUGUUAUGAAACUGCAGGUUUUACAUGUAAUUUUGAUGAUGACCAUAAAGAAGCAAAAUUAAAGGGUUAAGUGUUCAUUUUAUUCUAUGACCUCUUUAUUUCAUCCUAUGACCAUGUAAACAUAGUGAUGUAGCAGACAGACACACUUUAAGGAAAUCUAGAAUCAUAUUAAUAAGCGAUUAGUAAUGGAGGACUUUAGGAGCAAAGCAAUAUAAAAAUCUUUUCCUUUCCUUCUUUUUAUUUUAUUUUUUUUUGCUAUCUGUUCCACAUACAAGAUGGCAGAAAAAGUCUAAGAACAUUUUUUAUCACUUAAUCAACAAUAUCACACAUCAGUUGUCAGACAACGGAGUUUUCCAAUAUCUAAAGGAAAUAAUACAUAUGAAAUAAUCACAGAAGUUCUUGGCAUAUAGCAAAUCAGGUUAAACGUUAGUUGUUCUCUUUCUUGUACUAAGAUAUGGUUGACAUGAUCUUGGAUGGUUAAACUAGAUUAGAUAUUGUUAUCUUGUCACUUAACCUAGUUUCGUCAGUGGUCAAAAAAUGCACUCAGCAAGCACUUUCGCCUCUGGAGGUUUUGUCUCACUUUUUCACAAAACUAGUCUCCUCCAUAGACUUCCAGUAACAUGCAGGAAAUACCCAGGAUUUGUGCGACAUUUGCACUACUAGAGGAUACUACUGAAUAUCAAGAGCAACAGGAAACAUAUUAGGGAAGUAACUUGGUACAAACUAUGUGUUCUACUUCAUGAUUUGAUUCUCAAUAAAGUAACCCAUUUUAUCUUACAUUGCAUAGUGAUAAUAACCAUCUUUAUUUUAAAAUAAGAAAUGAAUAUUGCAUUAAUUAUUGUUAAUCAUUUUAGAAUACUAUAAAUGUGUCAAUAAAAAUUGCUAUGCUAAUAAAAAUAUUUCCUAUUUCACUAAAACUAUGAACUCUCAGGAUUGCAAAAUGAGCAAUAAAGUUCAAUAGUGUGGCACAGUCAAGAUUGCCUAUUGGAUAAGGGUGAUUUUUCUCAAAAUGUGUUAUAUGAAUGCAUUAAAUAUUUGAUGCUUAAUAAAAGCAAAAUAGCAUCUCUUUCCACUAAGCUGCCUCAAAUACCAAUUACAUAAGAAAGAUUUGCUAAGCUAAUGAUCUUCUAAGUAGCCACAAAUGCUUCUUUAAUUCCUCAUGUAUUCUUCUUUAUUCCUCAGAAUGAAUGUGAGUGGUUGUUUCCAACAUUUCAUGGCAUCACUUUUUUUUUUUACAGCAAGGAUUUACUUAACAAGCCUUUUUUUCUGCCUUGGAUCUCAUAGUGAUGCUUCUAACAAUCAGUUAUCAGGGAGCACUGCCUCAAAUCUGAAAGCAUUGACACAAAACUGAGACUUCUUGUGCCUCUCCUUCUAAUUAUGUGAUCUCUGAGCUGAUUUAUCCUAAUCAUAUUUGAGGACAAAACAGCAUUUGUAAAGGGUGAAGCUCCUAGACUUUUGUUGUCUGCCAAUAUCAUCUUGCUUGUUCCCUUAAUAACUCACUUCUCCUUGUGUAAUCCUCCCUCUCAAUGAUUCUAGAAUUGGAUACAUGGCUUUUUUUGGCCAAUGUUACAUUAGCAUAUGUGAUGCAAACAGAAGGUGGAUAAGUGCUUAUGUGUUAGGUCUCACAUUUUUGGAGAUUCAGCUGCCAUUGGAGAAAACACAUGGAAGAGGACUAAAGUACCUUGGCUGACAGCCCCAAACAUGUCUCAAACCAUUAAGAACAAGAUAAUCCAUGGAGUUUCCAUUGAGGUGCAGCGAAAAUGAAUCCAACUAGUGUUCAUGAGGAUGUGGGUUCAAUCCCUAGCCUCGGUCAGUGGGUCAGGAUCCAGCAUUGCCUGUGGUGUAGGUCACAGGUGCAGCUUGGAUCCUGCAUUGCUGUGGCUGUGGCUGACAGCUGUAGCUCCAAUUCGACCCCUAGCCUGGGAACUUCCAUAUGCUGAGGGUGUGGCCCUAAU
rnacentral:lncRNA from 1 species